rnacentral:rRNA from 1 species
UACGUAGGUGGCAAGCAUUGUCCGGAAUUAUUGGGCGUAAAGGGCGCGUAGGCGGUUCUUUAAGUCAGAUGUGAAAUCCCGAGGCUCAACCUCGGGCGUGCAUUUGAAACUGGGGGACUAGAGUGCAGGAGAGGUAAGUGGAAUUCCUAGUGUAGCGGUGAAAUGCGUAGAUAUUAGGAGGAACACCAGUGGCGAAGGCGACUUACUGGACUGUAACUGACGCUGAGGCGCGAAAGCGUGGGGAGCAAACAGG